rnacentral:rRNA from 1 species
GAUCAUGGCUCAGAUUGAACGCUAGCGGCAGGCCUAACACAUGCAAGUCGAGCGGCAGCACGUUCGGGUGGCGAGCGGCGGACGGGUGAGUAACACGUAGGAAUCUACCUAGUAGUCGGGGGAUAGCCCGGGGAAACUCGGAUUAAUACCGCAUACGCUCUACGGAGGAAAGGGGGCUUUGGCUCUCGCUAUUAGAUGAGCCUGCGUCGGAUUAGCUAGUUGGUGAGGUAAAGGCUCACCAAGGCGACGAUCCGUAACUGGUCUGAGAGGAUGAUCAGUCACACUAGAACUGACGACACGGUCCAGACUCCUACGGGAGGCAGCAGUGGGGAAUAUUGGACAAUGGGGGAAACCCCUGAUCCAGCCAUGCCGCGUGUGUGAAGAAGGCCUUCGGGUUGUAAAGCACUUUCCAGUUGGGAGGAAAAGUUUGUGGUUAAUACCCACGAGCCGUGACGUUACCAACAGAAGAAGCACCGGCUAACUCCGUG